GACGAACGCUGGCUGCGUGCCUAAUACAUGCAAGUCGAACGCAGUGGGGACGGGUGAGUAACACGUGGGAAACCUCCCAUCAGAGGGGAUAACACUUGGAAACAGGUGCUAAACCGAUACUGAUGGAUGGACCCGCGGUGCAUUAGCUAGUUGGUGGGGUAACGGCUCACCAAGGCGACGAUGCAUAGCCGACCUGAGAGGAUGAUCGGCCACACUGGAACUGAGACACGGCCAAGACUCCUACGAGAGGCAGCAGUAGGGAAUCUUCGACAAUGGACGAAAGUCUGACCGAGCAACGCAGCGUGAGUGAAGAAGGGUUUCGGUUCGUAAAGCUCUGUUGUUAGAGAAGCGGUAUCUAACCAAAAAGCCACGGCUAACUACAUGCCAGCAGCCGCGGUAAUAC
rnacentral:rRNA from 1 species